GAUGAACGCUGGCGGCGUGCCUAAUACAUGCAAGUCGAGCGAACAGACGAGGAGCUUGCUCCUCUGACGUUAGCGGCGGACGGGUGAGUAACACGUGGAUAACCUACCUAUAAGACUGGGAUAACUUCGGGAAACCGGAGCUAAUACCGGAUAAUAUAUUGAACCGCAUGGUUCAAUAGUGAAAGACGGUUUUGCUGUCACUUAUAGAUGGAUCCGCGCCGCAUUAGCUAGUUGGUAAGGUAACGGCUUACCAAGGCAACGAUGCGUAGCCGACCUGAGAGGGUGAUCGGCCACACUGGAACUGAGACACGGUCCAGACUCCUACGGUAGGCAGCAGUAGGGAAUCUUCCGCAAUGGGCGAAAGCCUGACGGAGCAACGCCGCGUGGGUGAUGAAGGUCUUCGGAUCGUAAAACUCUGUUAUUAGGGAAGAACAAAUGUGUAAGUAACUAUGCACGUCUUGACGGUACCUAAUCAGAAAGCCACGGCUAACUACGUG
rnacentral:rRNA from 1 species